rnacentral:rRNA from 1 species
CAAGGUUUCCGUAGGUGAACCUGCGGAAGGAUCAUUGUCGAGACCCCGGACGACCCGCGAACUUGUUCCGCACGCCCCUCGGCGCCGCGCCCCGUGGCCCUCUCGGGGGCGGCGGGCGGCGCCGACAACGAACCCCGGCGCGGGACGCGCCAAGGAGAACCCAAACGAGAAGGCACGCCCCCGGCGCCCGUUCGCGGGCGACGCGGGGCGGCGGCCUCUUUCGCGAAUCGAAACGACUCUCGGCAACGGAUAUCUCGGCUCUCGCAUCGAUGAAGAACGUAGCGAAAUGCGAUACUUGGUGUGAAUUGCAGAAUCCCGCGAACCAUCGAGUCUUUGAACGCAAGUUGCGCCCGAAGCCGUGAGGCCGAGGGCACGUCUGCCUGGGCGUCUCGCAACGCCUCGCCCCACCCAGCCCCCGCGCGGGGGCGUCGGGGGGGGCGGACACUGGCCCCCCGUGAGCGGCAGCUCGCGGCCGGCCUAAAAGCCGAGUCGCCGGCGACGGACGGCACGACGAGUGUUGGAGCACGGCACGCGCCCCGCGUCGUCCCGCGCCCGUCGCCGAGGGCGGCCUCGCGCGGCCCCGAAGAAGCAACGACCGGGACCCCAGGUCAGGCGGGAUCACCCGCUGAAUUUAGGCAUA